GGUAAGGUGGCUCAGUGGUAGAGUGCUUGCCUCACAUGUAUGAGGCUCUGGGUUUGAUUCCUCAGCACCA
rnacentral:tRNA from 1 species